rnacentral:rRNA from 1 species
CCAGACUCCUACGGGAGGCAGCAGUGGGGGAUAUUGCACAAUGGGCGAAAGCCUGAUGCAGCGACGCCGCGUGAGGGAAGACGGUCUUCGGAUUGUAAACCUCUGUCUUUGGGGAAGAAAAUGACGGUACCCAAAGAGGAAGCUCCGGCUAACUACGUGCCAGCAGCCGCGGUAAUACGUAGGGAGCAAGCGUUGUCCGGAAUUACUGGGUGUAAAGGGAGCGUAGGCGGGAUGGCAAGUAGAAUGUUAAAUCCAUCGGCUCAACCGGUGGCUGCGUUCUAAACUGCCGUUCUUGAGUGAAGUAGAGGCAGGCGGAAUUCCUAGUGUAGCGGUGAAAUGCGUAGAUAUUAGGAGGAACACCAGUGGCGAAGGCGGCCUGCUGGGCUUUAACUGACGCUGAGGCUCGAAAGCGUGGGGAGCAAACAGGAUUAGAUACCCCAGUA